AGCUACAACAUAUUUUCCCACUUUAAAUAAUAUUUAACAUAUGACAAACCCCAGACAAGGCUUUUAAUAUGUAUAAAGAACUGCAGUGUUAGGUGGUUUAUUUGCAAACUGUUUUCAGUGUUGUCCAUUUUUAUGGCACCUUUAACAAUAUUCUUGUUUCCAAAGUACAAAAAAAAUAGGUUAAAUAAUCUAGCCAUAACUGAAUGUCAAGCAAUAAAACAAAUGACUUUUGUGCAUAGACUUAAAAAAUACAAAUUUUAGACAUCUGCAUGUAAAUGCAAUCUCUUGUUUACUGCUUUCUUCAACUUGAGCAAUCGAUUCCUUAUUUACUAUUAACUUAAGAACUUGUAACGGCCUGUAAACAUUUUCUCUCUUACUCUUCUUUCAAAUUUACCUGUCCCUGCUUUUGAGUCAUAAUAUUUAAUGUUGUUCUGCACAUCUCUAUACAGUUAACUUUUUGGCUUUCAUUCUGUAUAGAUAAGAAAAUGUUAUAUUAUAAACAGCCUACUCAGUGCAAAUAUUUAUCUGUUUAUCAAAUCCACAAUAUGCUGUAUAAUACCGGUUUUACUAUAUAAUCUAUUUUAGACAUAGCUGUUUAGAACUAGAGUGUGCUAUUUUUGUGUUUUUCUGAUGUGUGGUGCUAGACAAGUUACUUUUGUGAACAACAAAAAUUAUCCCUUUUAUUCCUAGACAAUACCACCUUUGGGUCUUGUUAAUUUCACUGAGUAUAACUAUAUAUUUGUAUAUAUAUACAUAUAUAUAUAUAUCUACCUAUGCCCAACUGGCAGCUGUAUCAGAGUGCUGGAUUUGGGACAUGCUUUUCUCUUUAAAUACAUAAUAUCAUUAUAUAAAUUAUUCUAGAGUGUAUUUAAUUAGGAUAAAAUUACUUCCUUAGUAUGGAUAUUUGACAUCUAUAGGGUGAAUUUGUUUAUAAAUAUGGCUAUAUGGAAACUUAUUAGCAUUUACUUUAUGUUUGCUACUUGGCUUUACAGCAUAUCUCCUAAGCUGAAAAAUAAUUUGCCAGGCCUUCAAGAUCCUAAAGAAACUUGUUUAAUGGAGUAAUAUACUUUUUUUUCUUAUUAAGGAAUUGUAUUACUGGCACCUAACACAGUUGUAUUCUUAGCUCCUAUUAUAGAUAAUGGGCAUUUACAUAAAAUAUCCUAGAUGGCUUGAUGGCAGAAUAAACCUUUCCCCUCCUACCUGAGUCAUGAGAAGGAUGGAGACGUCCUCUGCCAUAACAUGGGCCAUAAAGCAAAUUCGACAUGGGAUGUUCUGUUUCAGUAUGACCUCAACCAGUUCCAUGAACUGAGUGAAGGACCUUCAUUUUCAAAGUUAUUUAAUAAGUAGCUUAAUUAAGCCUUUCUACCCAUUCUCCCAAGAUCUACUGGCAUUAUUGAAAAGCAAAGUUUAUCAAAUAUCUAACUAAGGAUGUAGUUAACCUUAUUAAAUAUUGAUUAGAAUUGUUCUGUAAUAUUACUGAAUUUGUAAGAUCUUUAGCAAAGAUUUUUGAGCAAUUUAUAAAUGUAGAGCAAAUGUUUCUGUUUACUGCACUUUUUGUAACUGAAGGUGAUAAAUUCUCAAGCCAUGAUUAUUGGCUUCCAUGCACUGCAAUAUUUAUCCACAAUUCUAGACAUUUUCCAUUUUUGUGGAAGAGUUGCUGUUACCUUAAUUAUAAAUGCAAUUGUGUGGUUAAUGAGAGCUAAUGCUAGUAGUUAACCUUUUAAAGUGGAUUGGCUACAGUUGAGGGAGAAAUCUCUUUUAAUAUAAAUCACAUCAUUCCUUAACUGCCUCUCUUGGAAAGAGAUUGAAACCUUUUUUUUAAAGCACGAUUUAGCAUCCUAAGCUUCCUGAGGGUAGAGAUUGUAUCUUUUUGCGUCUGCACAAUGGCUAGCACAUGUCAGCAUUUGACAAUUGUUAAAUGAUAACAAGUGUGCCCCAAUUAAAACGUUUUUCCUGGGUUGUUUUGUUAAAUUUACAAAGUAAGCCAAGCCUUACGGUUAACAUUCUCCUCUACAACCAAGUAUUAAAGCCACAUUUAAAAAGACCACAUGAAAUGCUGAUUCUAAUUGUGUGUAGGUCUUGAGGAUUAAGCACACAAAUUUCACAAACUUCUGUUUGAGUAAACAAACUCAGCCUUCUGUAAAUAUACAUGCAAGUUUGGAAACAGUAAUACUGUACCUAUAAAUAUAUGCUGUCUGUUUUGUGUACAGUAUGUAAAAACUCCUUUUCUGCCACACUAAAAAUGCAAGCCAUUUAUGGGAAUCCUAAAACUAGUAUUGAACUAAAACUUUGCUAAUGAUCUUUAUUAGAGGAUCGUCCAACUUUUCACUUACCUUGGGUUUUCUUUUCAAUUCACUCUUACACUAGUCUGCUUAUUUCCAGCUGUUUAUUUUAUUGAGUCCUGAAUUUAAAAAAAAAAUAUUUUGAUUCAUUUUGUAAAUACAAGCUGUACAAAAAAGAGAGAUUUAAUGUUGUCUUUUAAAUACUCCAAUUUUCAUUCUAAUAUGAAUGUUGUUAUAUUGUACUUAGAAACUGUACCUUUAAUAUUACAUUACCUUUAUUAAAAGUGCAUUGAACACAUCAAUUUUAGAUGUGCUUUAUGUACUGUUAUCCUAUAAUAAAACUUCAGCUUCUAAUGGAA
rnacentral:lncRNA from 10 species